GAUGAACGCUGGCGGCGUGCCUAAUACAUGCAAGUCGAGCGAACGGACGAGAAGCUUGCUUCUCUGAUGUUAGCGGCGGACGGGUGAGUAACACGUGGAUAACCUACCUAUAAGACUGGGAUAACUUCGGGAAACCGGAGCUAAUCCCGGAUAAUAUUUUGAACCGCAUGGUUCAAAAGUGAAAGACGGUCUUGCUGUCACUUAUAUAUGGAUCCGCGCUGCAUUAGCUAGUUGGUACGUUGACGGCUUACCAAGGCUACGAUGCAUAGCCGACCUUAGAGAGAGAUCGCCCACACUGGAGCUUAGACAGAGUCCAGACUCCUGCGAGAGGACGCAGUAGGCAAUCUUCCGCAAUAGGCGGGAGCCUGACGGAGCAGCGGCGAGUGUGUGAUGAAAGUCUUCGGAUCGUGAAACUCUGUUAUUAGGGAAGAACAUAUGUGUAAGUAACUGUGCACAUAUUGACGGUACCUAAUCAGAAAGCCACGGCUAACUACGUG
rnacentral:rRNA from 1 species